rnacentral:lncRNA from 1 species
GAGAUAAGAGAUAAGAAAUAAUAACCCUAAAUAUCAAAGAAAUAGGAAAUAAGAGGAAUACGAACAAUACAGAAUAGGGGAACAGAAAACGGAUACCCAUGUAAUAGUAACAUGCACUCACAGACCUAAUACACCCACCACACCCAAACUCUCCUAACACCUAGCCACAACCUACACACUCACACUAGCCGUCUACCCUAAUCUGCG